CCUACGGGUGGCAGCAGUGGGGAAUAUUGCACAAUGGGGGAAACCCUGAUGCAGCGAAGCCGCGUGAGCGAUGAAGUAUCUCGGUAUGUAAAGCUCUAUCAGCAGGGAAGAAAAUGACGGUACCUGACUAAGAAGCCCCGGCUAACUACGAGCCAGCAGCCAUGGUAAUACGUAGGGGGCAAGCGUAAUCCGGAUUUACUGGGUGUAAAGGGAGCGUAGACGGCUUGGCAAGCCAGAUGGGAAAGGCUGGGGCUCAACCCCAGGAGUGCAUUUGGAACUGGCACGCUAGAGUGUCGGAGAGGCAGGCGGAAUGCCUGGUGUAGCGGUGAAAUGCGUAGAUAUUAGGAAGAACACCAGUGGCGAAGGCGGCCUGCUGGACGAUGACUGACGUUGAGGCUCGAAAGCGUGGGGAGCAAACAGGAUUAGAUACCCGAGUAGUC
rnacentral:rRNA from 1 species